GGGAGCACUUCUAAGAGGAGGAUGGAAGAGAGCGAAUGCAUUGUACAAGAGCCGCAGAUGAUGAACGAAUCUUCUAGGGACAACCGGCGACUGGCUCAGGUUGCUCGACAGCUCAUAUCCUUAUCUGGGAAAAAAUGGUCUUAACAAUGAUGGCUUCUGCUAUCUAACGAGUGUUAAGUUGGAUACGAUGGACCAUCGAACUGAUUUUUGAGAGAUGAUUUUCCAUAGAAAUUGGACGAGCAGCUGGCUGCAUUGCAUCAGGGGAGAGAGUGAGUGAGAGAGAGAUUUAUAAAUCUGCAGUAGUAAAA